rnacentral:rRNA from 1 species
AGAAUCAACGCUGGCGGCGUGCCUAACACAUGCAAGUCGAACGCGAAAGCCCCCGCAAGGGGCAAGUAGAGUGGCAAACGGGUGAGUAACACGUGGGUGACCUGCCUUCGAGUGGGGGAUAACGUCCCGAAAGGGACGCUAAUACCGCAUGACAUCCUGUCUUUGGACAGACGGAGAUCAAAGCUGGGAUCGCAAGACCUGGCGCUUGAAGAGGGGCCCGCGCCUGAUUAGCUAGUUGGUGAGGUAACGGCUCACCAAGGCUACGAUC